rnacentral:rRNA from 1 species
UGCGUAGGCGGAAUAGUAAGUCAGUGGUGAAAGCCUGCGGCUCAACCGUAGAAUUGCCAUUGAUACUGUUAUUCUUGAGUAUAGUUGAGGUGGGCGGAAUGUGUAAUGUAGCGGUGAAAUGCAUAGAUAUUACACAGAACACCAAUUGCGAAGGCAGCUCACUAAACUAUCACUGACGCUGAGGCACGAAAGCGUGGGGAGCAAACAGGAUUAGAUACCCUGGUAGUCC